AUCCAAAUGACGAGUCGCAAAUGGGACGAAAUUCGCGUUGUCCUGGAU
rnacentral:hammerhead_ribozyme from 1 species